UAUUUUUAUUUACAUAGCUGAAAUAUUAUUAUAUAAUAAAAUUAAUUAAUUUAUUAACCCGCAGUUCACCCGAUCCAGUGAUCCAGCAACCCGGUAAGUCGUCUGGUUCAGUGUCCGUGUCGGAUUUAAAAACAUUGGUUCCACCUCUCGCAUGUGAAUAAAGAGUGAAUGUCGAUUGAUACUUCCUUAGACAAGCAUUAACGUCCUACAUUCACAGUUAUCAAUAUUCUAAAUUUAGGGUUCUAGUUAAUUACUAUAGAACAUAAUCAAUAAGAUCAAUUCUGUUGAAGAAUCCUAAUAAUUCACCCUUACAGUUCUAUGUUAUCGAUAAUUCAUCUAAACCCUAAUCUAACAAAGUAAUUACUCCGACAUGAUCAAGCAAAACAUAACAAUAGUCUGAAUAGAAUACAUAAAUAGAAUAAGGUAAAAAAAAUAGAGUUUUGAUACAAAAUUUCUGAAGGAGUUCUUGAUCUUUUCUCCAAAAGGUACUAAUUAAAGCCCUAAGUAAAUAUUGUGUAAGGGGGUUUGUGAUGGUGUGUGGUUGUUUGUGAUGGUGUGUUUUGCCUAAAACAAUGGCAAACACUACAAAUACUAGGUAUAAAGUAGCAUUCUAGUAAUAUGUGGAUCUUCUCAGCUUGAGCCGGUCUUGAAACAAGUCGGGCCCAUCUACUUGCAUUGGUGUCGAGCAACACUAAGGUUGCAGCGUUGAUCGACAUUUCUUCUAAAUCUCGGCUCUGGCUUUGAUUUGUUGAACAGAUAUGAGUUUCCUUAUCCAUAAACUCCAUAAUCUUCACAUUCUCUAUAACAUGUUUGGACCUGACAAAGCUCAGAAUAGACUCCACACAUAACAUAAUGACUCUAAAAAGGACUAAUACAAUAGCUAAAACUGGUAAAUUCCAUAGUAUAUCAAGCUUCACGUAUCACUUUAAUAUGAUUGUGCAGCCUUUUACCAUUUUGAUAUGGCCACCUGAACAUUUAAACUCGCAACCUUUUCUCUCCAGAGUUCCCAAUGAUAUCAAUUUCCUAGCUAUCUCAGGCAUAUACCUUACCUCGUGUAAAACAAAAGUCGUACCAUCUGGAUUUCUGAACUAACUGAAACAAUCCCUUUGAUCUCAGUAUGAUUGUUAUUUUCCAUUUUGACCUUACCUGAACGCCGUUUCUGAAACUGAAUAAACACAUCUCUUCGAGAAGUCAUGUGGAAUGAGCAACCCGUGUCUACCACUCAUUCCUCUUUGUCAUUCUGCUCCACUGACAUGUUGUCCACUGAAGCUAUUAACCUAACUAGAUCAUGUGCAUCAUCUCUUACCAUUGAUGACUCCGAUUUGUGCUGAAUUUGAACCUUUCCCUUGUUCCUUUCUAGCCAUUUAUAACAUUGUUUCUUGAAAUGACAUUCCUUCAAGGAUAUCCAUCAUAUCUUAUUUCUUUGUGUUGACUUGGAGCGAGACUUGUUGAACUUUCCUUUUCCUGGUGGCCAGUUCCUUGUCUCUGAAUUAUCCGUAACUCUGAUACAAAAUCCAUAGAUUCUUCUUCUUCAGAAUAAAACCCAAAACACAAUGGGUUUGUGAUUCUGCUUUGUGAUUAUGUUUUGUGUUUCAGGCUUUCAAAAACCUCCAGAUUCUUCUUCUUCUUCUUCUCUUACACAGUGAGUUUGUGAUUAUGUUUUGUGAUGUGUCUAUUAGAGAUUUUACGGAUGAUGUAAAUCUUUUGUUUGUUGACUAUUAUAAACCCUUCCUCACGAUUUUGAAAUGUUAUAUAAGAGACUAUUAAUAUAAUCAGCCCUCCUCUGUAUACUGAACAUGUUAUCUUUGUUUAGUUGAUUGGAUUUAGGAUAUGUUUUCACUCAAUGAAAACAGAGGAGAAGAGACACAAGUUCACAAACUCUAGACCUUUUGAAAGUAAACCCCGAGAGUUGAUAUUUUAAACAGAUAUUGUGUUGCUUUGUUCUAAUUAUGUAUAUUACAGAAAUUGCUGGAGUUUUCAAAGGCUUAUAAACAAUUAGGAUCCAACACGUUCUAAUCACUUGUCAAGAAUCUUUAAUACACUAUCCCGCGGGGAUUUGUCAUUGGACUUCUUUGGAUUCAUCCAAUAGAAACAUUCAGGUCAUGAGUUCGUAUAAAAGCUCGAAAUCUCUAAACGAGUUCAUCUAAGAAGGAUACAACAACUCUGCAGCUUCUUAAAAGUAAACAUGAACUAAAGCUCUAGAAGUUGUGGUCUCGGUUGAAGAUAGAGAGCAAGAUGAGAGUGCAGGGACUCAGACAAAACAGUCAAGAGCAAAUGAAACAAAAGAUUUAUACACUGAAAUCAAAAGAGAAUCAACUUAAAAGCUUGUGCUACUGAUGAAGCUGAAGCAUUGUCAAAAUCUUAGAAGGUUUAUAACUCAUUCUUUCAUUAUUUGUCUAUCCACAAACGACAAAUUCACAAACUUAUGUCCACUGCUUGCGUAUCCACAACUCGUCUAUUCACAUAAUGUUUGUCCAUGUUUAUCUAUCUACUUUUUUGUCCAUUGUAACUUGUAAAAGUUCUCCAUCUCUUUUUGUUCAUGGUUUUUUCAUCGAUCCAUGUUCACAUAUUCUUGUUUAUGUAUUAUCCGCACAUGUCAAUGUUUUGUUCGCUCAAAUUUUUUGUAUCCAUGUCCACACAUUUAGUCAUAAUGAUUAGGGAAAGAAAAACAAUUAAAAGCUUUGUUCGGCAGAAUUUAAUCUCCAAUCUCUUAAACAAGAUUCAUCCACAAGACAUUUGUUGCUAAGCUUCCUCAGCUACGAACACAUACAAUUUUGUGUUAGUUUUUUAGUUUUUCACCUUUUUCAUCCAUUCAUGUCCACUCUUUUUUGUUACAUAUUUUCUGUACAUGUCAAAAAAUUUCACAUCCAAAUUUUUAAUAGAAAAUAUUACAUAAUAGAUCACUUUUACACAUUUUAAUUACACCAUGGGACAUUUUCAACUCCACACACACUUUUCUCUUCUUCCAACCCAUUUUUCUCUUUUUCCAACCCAUGAAAACCCGAUGUUACCUUUUUGUUAUUAUGAAAGCCCAACCUAUUAAAUUAAAAUCUAACUAAUCGGCCGAUUCAUACAUCAACAAAGGGCUCCAGUCCCGAUCAGUACAUGAACUCGUACCCUGUGCUAAAAUAUACACCAACAUUUAAUAUAUUUAGAUUUCAUACAUGAACAACAAAAUUUAGGUCUAUUCAUACUUUGACCGUGAUUCCGUUAGUCAAACGCUGCUUACGUGGAGUUAACGGAUUGCUUACAUGUCAAUUAAACAAUAAUAUGUGGUGCCUAUGUUUAAAAUAAUGAGAGUAUAUAUAAUAUAUAGUUAAUGUAAAUAACAACAAUCACUAUCAGCGUGGCCUAGUGGUUGUGUCACGGGUUUCAAUCAAGUUGAUCCGGGUUCGAAUCUUGUCUGGCUCUAUUUUUUAACAUUUCUUUAAAGAAUGGUAUUUUCGUAACUAUAUCAUCUUCUUCUUCUGAAAGUCAUUAGGGUUUUCUGCAACUACACAGCGCAGACGGUCAAAGUAUGAAUAGACCUAAAUUUUGUUGUUCAUGUAUGAAAUUUGAAUAUAUUAAAUGUUGGUGUAUGUUUUAGCACAAGGUACGAGUGCAUGUACUGAUCAGGACCGGGACCUUCUAUUAAUGUAUGAAUCUGCCGAUUUCCCGUUUAUUUUACCUUUAGAGUUUUUAACUUUUCAAGACACUAUUCUCUUUCUCUAUCUCUUUCCUUAUAGCUUUUUUUUUUCCUUUUUGCCAUGGUUUUGGAAACUCAGUCCAUCUAUAGAAGAUGGCAGAGCAGAAGAAGUUGUGCGUUAGAUUCAUCGAUUGCGUUGACGGAGAGUAAACGAUAUUGUUGAUGUAGAGGUGUUAUGUGACGGUGGCUCCGACAAUUUUGGCGGUUUCUCUGUGGCCGGAGAUGGUGAUAUCGAUUCUUCCUUUCCAAACGUCUUCAGCCGUUCACACGCCUUUAGAGCCUCUGUGUGUGGGUAUUUAGGCAUCAGAUCUUGUAUCAUUAGACAAAAAGACAUGUGCUUUCAUCUCUGGCGUUUCCUCUGCUGUUUUCCGCUGUCUCCACAACCAUUCUCCGCCGUCUCUGUCACCGCACCGCUGUCUCCACCAACAUUCUGUAGCAUCUCUGCCACAAUUCUAACGUGCGUCCUCUGGUUUGUCCAGAGUCAGAACUCAAAUCGUAUCCAUCACAACGAAGAAAUGAAAAUGAGAAUUUAUGCCUCUACGAAUUUCCAAGUGAGACAUGUGAGGUUAGUCUUUUGGGUUGAAGUUCCUUUUGGCAAACAUAAAAGAUGUCCACAAAGCUUCUGUUAUUUUUCGAGAGAGUAGUUAGUAGGGAGUGUGAUUAUUGUUGCAGAGAGACUAGCGAGUAGUGAAUUUGGUUAUUGUACAUCGUUUACUUUGUAUAUGUGGACACCAACAAAAACUUCGUGCACACUGAUGAUGGUAUGGUCAUAUAUACAUAUCAAUUUUUUUUUGAAAA